UACGAAGGGGGCUAGCGUUGCUCGGAAUCACUGGGCGUAAAGGGUGCGUAGGCGGGUCUUUAAGUCAGGGGUGAAAUCCCCGGGCUCAACCCGGGAACUGCGUCCGAUACUGGCAGGCUUGAAUCCGGGAGAGGGAUGCGGAAUUCCAGGUGUAGCAGUGAAAUGCGUAGAGAUGCGGAGGAACACCGAUGGCGAAGGCAGCCCCCUGGGCCAAUACUGACGCUCAGGCACGAAAGCGUGGGGAGCAAACAGG
rnacentral:rRNA from 1 species